UGACAGUUUGAGGUUAUAAUUUUUAAUGA
rnacentral:piRNA from 1 species